CUUUGCCUGAAGAGCAGGCUGAACUCAACAGGAAUCUUUGUGAAAGGAAAGGCAGGCAGCCCUGGCCACUCCAAGGUGGGAAAGGACUGGAGUCCUAGGACUUUGUUUUCUGAGUCAAAGAUGAGUCCUGUGGGAAAUGCUCCUCCCACUGCCAUUUAAAGAACUGGGAAUUUGGCAUCAGAAGCCUUGGGAACUAAUUCCUGCUUGGCCCAUACUGUGUGACCUCAGGGUCACAUCAAAAGGAUCCUUGGCCACAUCUUUUUCUUCUUUCACUCCCUGAGUCCUUUUCUCCCAACUAUGCCAACUGAGGAUUGUACAGCAUCUUCUUUUGACUGGACUUCUUGAAGAGGAGCAGCUGUGUGUUGGAAAGGAAGGACCCUCCUCGGCAGUAGUGCUGGAGACUCCUGACUUUAUCAUCAACAAUACCUCUGUGAUCUGAAGCAAGUUACUUCUCAUAUCUGGGCUGAUUCCUUCAUUCUAAAAUGAGCAAAACCAAGACUUAAUUGCAGUUUCAGCCUCUCCGUGCCCAUCUUCCUCCACUUUAUAUGUGGGACACCUACCACAGCAUGGCUUGCCAAGUGGUUCACUGGGAUCGGAACCGGCGAACCCCAGGCCACUGAAGUAGAACAUGUGAACUUAACCGCUGCAC
rnacentral:lncRNA from 1 species